AUAGGCGAAAGCCUGACAGGGUUACUCUGAGUGGUUUCCGCUAAGGGAACCUUUUGGCACCUCUACAAAUGGUGCAGAAUAAGGGGUGGGCAAGUCUGGUGUCAGCCGCCGCGGUAAUACCAGCACCCCGAGUGGUCGGGACGAUUAUUGGGCCUAAAGCAUCCGUAGCCGGUCCUGCAAGUCUUCCGUUAAAUCCAGCUGCUCAACAGAUGGGCUGCGGGGGAUACUACAGGGCUAGGAGGCGGGAGAGGCAAGCGGUACUUUAUGGGUAGGGGUAAAAUCCGUUGAUCCAUAGAAGACCACCAGUGGCGAAGGCGGCUUGCCAGAACGCGCUCGACGGUGAGGGAUGAAAGCUGGGGGAGCAAACCGGAUUAGAUACCCCCGUAGUCC
rnacentral:rRNA from 1 species